AUUGAACGCUGGCGGCAUGCCUUACACAUGCAAGUCGAACGGCAGCACGGGGGCAACCCUGGUGGCGAGUGGCGAACGGGUGAGUAAUACAUCGGAACGUGUCCUGUUGUGGGGGAUAACCCAUCGAAAGGUGAGCUAAUACCGCAUGAUCUGGAGACAGCAAAGCAGGGGAUCGCAAGACCUUGCGCGAUUGGAGCGGCCGAUGUCCGAUUAGCUAGUUGGCGGGGUAAAGGCCCACCAAGGCAACGAUCUGUAGUUGGUCUGAGAGGACGACCAGCCACACUGGGACUGAGACACGGCCCAGACUCCUACGGGAGGCAGCAGUGGGGAAUUUUGGACAAUGGGCGCAAGCCUGAUCCAGCAAUGCCGCGUGCAGGAAGAAGGCCUUCGGGUUGUAAACUGCUUUUGUCAGGGAAGAAAUCUUCUGGGCUAAUAUCCCGGGAGGAUGACGGUACCUGAAGAAUAAGCACCGGCUAACUACGUGCCAGCAGCCGCCGCAGUAA
rnacentral:rRNA from 1 species